GUUUUGUUGUCCAUUUUUUUGAUUAAGGAUGGUUUGUAAGGUUUUCCUUCCAUUCUUGAAGGUAGCCAGUUAGGGAAGUUAAGACUGUUACAGAAUGGAAGCUGAUGAGUGUAAAUUAACGAGGAAUGGGGCAAGCAUAACCCAAAAAAACUGAAGACAAAAGCUUUUUGAUUUUUGGUAAAGAAGCGAUGAAUACCAACAAAGAAAGCGAAAGUGAAUUCUGCUACCCCAGAGGCAAAAUUUGCAAGCAAAAGUCAAAACAACAAGAACAACAACAAAAGUGACCUUUCAAGACUAUAAAGAGAAGAUGCCUAACAACCAGUAGGAACUGAAAAUAUCAAUACAAGGGCAGAAGAGCAGGAAGGACAAUUGGAAAGACAUCAAGUGAUUUUAAUGUUUUUUGUUACUGCUGUAAGGUAUAUUUCAAUGAACCAAAACCAGUAAAAACAUUCUUUGAUUAUUAUAUUCAUACAAAAGUUCAUAUCACAUCACAAAAUUAAUGUCAUUCUGCUUUUGGCAAGUGUUCUUACCAGCGACCAGCCCUUUUGAUUGUGCUAUCAUCAGCACCACAUCUGGCUGCCCAGCGUGCUGCUGACCUUCUAAUGCUAUGUGUGGUGUAUGGCUUCUCAAAUAGGGCCUUGGUCAUCUACAAGCAAGAGGGAAAUAAUUAAUAAAUGCAUGUAUAAAAUAUUAGAGAGGGAGCACAAUUUUGUCUGCAUAUAUACCUGUAACAAGCAUGCAGUGCGACAUGCUUGAGAAUCCAGCAUACUUUGCAGGCACUGCCAAAGGCCACUACGGGUAGUGCGAGUGUGAUACAAAAUUAAGAAAAGUGCAUGGCAUGGUCAUAUUAUUAUAACAUUUGUAAGAAUCUCUAAAUUAGUUUUAAAAUUCCUGCAACCUUUCUCCUCAUUUUGUAUUUGCUUUGUAUUUGUUUUUGAAAGGAAACCACAAGAAUGAGAGAAAAACAGUAUUUUAUAAUUGUAAGCCAGGCGGAAAAACAAGUGAUAUUAUAUAAUUGACUGUUCCUUAUGACAAGAAAUUAGAGAUUUGAUUAAGAUAUUGAUGUACUGAUGUAUUUACCUUGGAAAAAAUAGUACGAUAUGAGGCCACACUUCGCUUUGAUGGAAGUGCACGUCGGUUGUCUUUGGCAAUGCGAGGGAAGAUGUAACCCUUCGUGAUUCCUAAUAAUAUAUCACUAGAUUAGAUUGCUAGGUUUCUAUUGUGAGUAAUGGUGGAGGUAAAUUAAAGGUAAGGUUUUCCUAAAAAUGAAAAAAAAAGGAAAAGAAAUAAAGAAAUAGGAUGUGUAGGGGCAACCCAGAAUGUGACAUUGUGCCUCUAAUAACUUACCAGAAAACAGCAGCCACGAAAUGAGUGCCAUAACAGGGCACAACUUAGGGUUUAGGGGAUUGGCCUAUAGCGACAGAUUAACCCCUGCAAUAUGUAAAUUAUAACAAUAUUAUAUACCUCAAAA